rnacentral:rRNA from 1 species
AAGUCGUAACAAGGUUUCCGUAGGUGAACCUGCGGAAGGAUCAUUAUUGAAACUUUCUAGGGGCGUUCGGGUUCCGUUGCGCACCGGUGGAGACGCCGUGUUGCCGACGCCCGUUCGCCUCGUCCAAACUCAAACCCCUGUGCACUUUUUCGGGAUCGGUCCGGGUUAGCGCCCGGACCGUCUCGCUCACACAAACCACUACAGUAUAACGAAUGUCAAAUUCGAGGUUUCGGCCCCGUCUUAAUUAACAAAUUACAACUUUCAACAACGGAUCUCUUGGCUCUCGCAUCGAUGAAGAACGCAGCGAAAUGCGAUAAGUAAUGUGAAUUGCAGAAUUCAGUGAAUCAUCGAAUCUUUGAACGCACCUUGCGCUCCUUGGUAUUCCGAGGAGCAUGCCUGUUUGAGUGUCUUGAAAUCAUCAAGUCCCCGGAUUCGCGUCCGGAGGCUUGGACUUGGGGGUCUUUGCUGCGCUUUGGCGCGGCUCCCCUUAAAUGAAUCGGUUGUGGCCCGUCCGGCUUCAGUCCUCGGCGUUGUAUUCACCUCGCCCCGCGUCUUGUCGGCAGCGCCAUUCCCCGACCGCCUUUGGAGCGGCGGUCAAGACUACAAUUGAAAUCUGACCUCAAAUCAGGUAGGACUACCCGCUGAACUUAAGCAUAUCAAUAAGAGGAGGAAAAGAAACUAACAAGGAUUCCCCUAGUAACUGCGAGUGAAGCGGGAUGAGCUCAAAUUUGAAAUCUGGCGGUUACACCGUCCGAGUUGUAUUCUGGAGAAGCGUUUUCCGUGCUGGACCGUGUACAAGUCCCUUGGAACAGGGCGUCAUAGAGGGUGAGAAUCCCGUCUUUGACACGGACUGCCAGUGCUAUGCGAUGCGCUCUCGAAGAGUCGAGUUGUUUGGGAAUGCAGCUCAAAACGGGUGGUAAAUUCCAUCUAAAGCUAAAUAUUGGCGAGAGACCGAUAGCGAACAAGUACCGUGAGGGAAAGAUGAAAAGCACUUUGGAAAGAGAGUAAAACAGUACGUGAAAUUGUUGAAAGGGAAACGCUUGAAGUCAGUCGCGUCUUCUGGAACUCAGCCUUGCUUCUGCUCGGUGCACUUUCCAGUUCGACGGGCCAGCAUCGGUUUCGAGGGGUAGACAAAGGUUCGGGGAAGGUGGCACCUCCGGGUGUGUUAUAGCCCCUUGCUGCAUGUGCCCUUUGGGACCGAGGAAUCCGGCGCCUGGCGCUUGGGAUGCUGGCGUAAUGGCUCUAAACGACC